rnacentral:rRNA from 1 species
UACGGGGGGGGCAAGCGUUGUUCGGAAUUACUGGGCGUAAAGGGCUCGUAGGCGGCCAACUAAGUCAGACGUGAAAUCCCUCGGCUUAACCGGGGAACUGCGUCUGAUACUGGAUGGCUUGAAUUCGGGAGAGGGAUGCAGAAUUCCAGGUGUAGCGGUGAAAUGCGUAGAUAUCGGGAGGAACACCUGUGGCGAAAGCGGCGCACUGGACCACAUCUGACGCUGAGGCGCGAAAGCUAGGGGAGCAAACAGG